CGAGCAGGUCAGACGGUCGCGGGAACGAUGAGUUCCUGAGGAAAGUCGGAGCUCCACAGGGCAGGGUAGCGGGUAACGCCCGUCCGCCGUGAGGCGAGGACCAGCGCCACAGUGACGAACCCGCGAGCGAGCGGGGUGAAACGAGGCAAGCUCUAUCCGGAGCAAGGCCGAAUAGGGGGACGAUGGGGUGGCCCGCCCCGUCCCCGGGUUGGCCGCUAGAGACGGUCGGUAACGACCGCCCCAGAAGGAUGACCGUCCUUCGACAGAACUCCGCUUACGGCCUGCUCGGCGC
rnacentral:RNase_P_RNA from 2 species